rnacentral:rRNA from 1 species
CAAACUGGAGAUGGCGACCGGCGCACGGGUGAGUAACACGUAUCCAACCUGCCGAUAACUCGGGGAUAGCCUUUCGAAAGAAAGAUUAAUACCCGAUGGUAUAAUCAGACCGCAUGGUUUAAUUAUUAAAGAAUUUCGGUUAUCGAUGGGGAUGCGUUCCAUUAGGCAGUUGGUGAGGUAACGGCUCACCAAACCUUCGGUGGAUAGGGGUUCUGAGAGGAAGGUCCCCCACAUUGGAACUGAGACACGGUCCAA